GGUUAGCAAAGAUUUCAAAAAAAAAGAAAAACUGGUGAAGAUAGAUACCAAUGUUGGCAAGAAUAAGGGGAAAGGAACAGUCUCAUGCUCAGUUGCAGAAAUAAGAAAAGUGAGGCAUAAAGCGGGUUAGAAACUUGCCCUAGUCCCUUAACUCAGAAGUGGAAGAGCUGAGAUUCACAUCCAGAGGAUGGUCUACCCUUCAGUUUUACACCACUGAGCCUGAAGUUCACAGAAGGAAUGAACAAAAAGCUCUGUUCUCUACUCCUGAUUUGAACCAGACACAACUUACUUCAACACUGCAUGCUGUCCUUCAGUUAAUUACCCUCCUGAAUUCUAUCAGAUGUCCCCCUGUCUGCAAGCUACAGACAGUCUGCAAGGGUAGAAAGGUAUGGUGAAAUUUGCUCUUGGUAACUUGCUUUUUG